rnacentral:rRNA from 1 species
GACGAACGCUGGCGGCGUGCUUAACACAUGCAAGUCGAACGGAAAGGCCCUGCUUUUGUGGGGUGCUCGAGUGGUGAACGGGUGAGUAACACGUGAGUAACCUGCCCUUGACUUUGGGAUAACUUCAGGAAACUGGGGCUAAUACCGGAUAGGAGCUCCUGCUGCAUGGUGGGGGUUGGAAAGUUUCGGCGGUUGGGGAUGGACUCGCGGCUUAUCAGCUUGUUGGUGGGGUAGUGGCUUACCAAGGCUUUGACGGGUAGCCGGCCUGAGAGGGUGACCGGCCACAUUGGGACUGAGAUACGGCCCAGACUCCUACGGGAGGCAGCAGUGGGGAAUAUUGCACAAUGGGCGGAAGCCUGAUGCAGCAACGCCGCGUGCGGGAUGACGGCCUUCGGGUUGUAAACCGCUUUCGCCUGUGACGAAGCGUGAGUGACGGUAAUGGGUAAAGAAGCACCGGCUAACUACGUG